CCUACGGGUGGCUGCAGUGGGGAAUAUUGGACAAUGGGGGGAACCCUGAUCCAGCCAUGCCGCGUGUGUGAAGAAGGCCCUCGGGUUGUAAAGCACUUUCAGUGAGGAAGAACGCCUGGUGGUUAAUACCCAUCAGGAAAGACAUCACUCACAGAAGAAGCACCGGCUAGCUCCGUGCCAGCAGCCGCGGUAAUACGGAGGGUGCGAGCGUUAAUCGGAAUUACUGGGCGUAAAGCGCGCGUAGGUGGCUUGAUAAGCCGGUUGUGAAAGCCCCGGGCUCAACCUGGGAACGGCAUCCGGAACUGUCAAGCUAGAGUGCAGGAGAGGAAGGUAGAAUUCCCGGUGUAGCGGUGAAAUGCGUAGAGAUCGGGAGGAAUACCAGUGGCGAAGGCGGCCUUCUGGACUGACACUGACACUGAGGUGCGAAAGCGUGGGUAGCAAACAGGAUUAGAUACCCUGGUAGUC
rnacentral:rRNA from 1 species